GAAACAUCUCAGUACCCACAGGAACAGAAAACAACCGUGAUUCCGUAAGUAGUGGCGAGCGAACGCGGAAGAGGCCAAACCGCACUUGUGUGAUAGCUGACAGGCGUUGCAAGUGUGGUGUUGAGGGGCCGAUCUGAUCGAACUGUCAAUCGAUCAAACAGUAAGAAAUGAUUGAUGAAGUCGAAGCACUUUGGGAAAGUGCGGCAUAGAAGGUAAUACCCCUGUAGACGUAAGUCAAUCACUGUUGAUCGUCACCCCAAGUAGCACCCAACCCCUGAAAUUGGGUGUGAAUCUGGCGGGACCACCCGCUAAGCCUAAAUACUACCUGGUGACCGAUAGCGGACUAGUACCGUGAGGGAAAGGUG
rnacentral:rRNA from 1 species